rnacentral:rRNA from 1 species
GUACGGGGGGGCGGAAGCGUUGUUCGGUGAAUUACUGGGCGUAAAGGGCUCGUAGGCGGCCAACUAAGUCAGACGUGAAAUCCCUCGGCUUAACCGGGGAACUGCGUCUGAUACUGGAUGGCUUGAGUUGGGAGAGGAUGCGGAAUUCCAGGUGUAGCGGUGAAAUGCGUAGAUAUCUGGAGGAACACCGGUGGCGAAGGCGGCAUCCUGGACCAACACUGACGCUGAGUGAGCGAAAGCCAGGGAGCAAACGGG